rnacentral:lncRNA from 7 species
CACAAGUGGAGAACAGCAGUGCCCUUAUGACGUUGCUACUUCAGGCCUGCCGGCAAGACUUCGGUUCCUCGGCCUCCUGCCCCAUCUUUUAUGGAUCUCAGGAACUGCCUGUGAGGUUUCAGUGGGGCUGGCGUACAACCCUGCUCACAGAACAGUACAUUGUACAUCCUGUGCUGAAGAGUUAAUUUCCCUGCUAGCUGCUCUGCCACACCUAAGGCGAACUUUCUCCCCAAGCAGCAGGAGUCAGAGGCUGCACCCAGAGAGCACCCUGGAAAACAGAGGAGCAGCAGUAUACAUCACCAGAGGCUGCAGGAGAAUACUGGAAGCAGAGGAUGGGAUCUGCCGCCUGUACCAUGCAGCAAUCAGAGCUAUCCCUACUUGUUCUUUUGAGAUAAAACACACUUUUUAAUGCUUAGAUUUUAAUUACCUUUCUACUCAAUGUACAGGCUUGUAGAGGAGCCCACCCUGUUUUGUAUUUUCUUUAAAGGAUCCAUAAGUUCAAUACAAUGAGACCUAGCUUAGUAAAGAUAAGGAAAGGUUUCCCCAGGGAUGCUGUGGCAUGAAAGAGGUUUCUGUCAUGAUAUGGUCAUUCUAACAAAGCAGAGCAAUACAUGAGGGUUUCUCACCUUUAACUUGUUGGCAUUAUACAGCACAGACCUUCCACUAAUUGUUACAAAUUC